UGACCUGUUCACAGAAGGCCACCAGGGAAGAGUCACUGCUUCCCAGCCUGGAGCACCUCUGUGAGGACAAAAGCUUCCAGCGUGGGAGCACACAGUCCAGCUGCCUCCUCUCUUGUCAUAGCCUCAGCUGGAGUUUGGAUCUCAUGCUGCCUUUCCCAUGGGGAUGAGGAGCGAGGAAGAGAAGCACCUGAGCCCCACCGUGGAGCUGGUGGAUGAAUGGAUCAGGAGUGAUCUUCCCAGGAGGGGAUGGACACUGUCCCUGUGCAUUCCUGGUUCCAGUGCAGGAGACUGAGCCCUCUGCAGGACACCACUCAGUGAAGCCCCCAGCUCCCUUGGGACACUCCUCACCAAGCCAUGGCAGCAUUAAUAGCUGGGAUUAGACUCUAUCAUCCCGAUCCAGGUGGAUUCCUGUGCCUGCUUAAUGCUCUGGGUAAGCAGCUGGGCUUUAGCAAAAGCUAAAUAAUUAAGGGAAUUGCUGUAAGAUCAGAAACUUAACAACUUAUUUGCUGCUCACAUUCAGAUGCUGGGUGUACAUGAAUGACUGCCCUGGCUCAGGGUGACAGCAGGGACCUCGGGCUGGCAGAGGCCAGGUGAUGAGAGGGGCCAAGGGGAUGAUGGGGACCAAGGGGACUGCAAGGACCAUGGGGAUC